GACGAACGCUGGCGGCGUGCUUAACACAUGCAAGUCGAACGAAGAGCGAUGGAAGCUUGCUUCUAUCACUCUUAGUGGCGAACGGGUGAGUAACGCGUAAUCAACCUGCCCUUCAGAGGGGGACAACAGUUGGAAACGACUGCUAAUACCGCAUACGAUCUGACCUCGGCAUCGAGGAUAGAUGAAAGGUGGCCUCUAUUUAUAAGCUAUCACUGAAGGAGGGGAUUGCGUCUGAUUAGCUAGUUGGAGGGGUAACGGCCCACCAAGGCGAUGAUCAGUAGCCGGUCUGAGAGGAUGAACGGCCACAUUGGGACUGAGACACGGCCCAGACUCCUACGGGAGGCAGCAGUGGGGAAUCUUCCGCAAUGGACGAAAGUCUGACGGAGCAACGCCGCGUGAGUGAUGACGGCCUUCGGGUUGUAAAGCUCUGUUAAUCGGGACGAAAGGCCUUCUUGCGAAUAGUUAGAAGGAUUGACGGUACCGGAAUAGAAAGCCACGGCUAACUACGUG
rnacentral:rRNA from 1 species